CAGUCGCCGCGGUAAUACGAAGGGUGCAAGCGUUAAUCGGAAUUACUGGGCGUAAAGCGUGCGUAGGCGGUGAGUUAAGUCUGCUGUGAAAUCCCCGGGCUCAACCUGGGAACUGCAUUUGUGACUGGCGGGCUAUAGUAUGGCAGAGGGGGGUAGAAUUCCACGUGUAGCAGUGAAAUGCGUAGAGAUGUGGAGGAAUACCGAUGGCGAAGGCAGCCCCCUGGGCCAAUACUGACGCUCAUGCACGAAAGCGUGGGGAGCAAACAGGAUUAGAUACCCGCGUAGUCCCUGUCUCUUAUAC
rnacentral:rRNA from 1 species